GGGCAAGAGGUUCGACUCGAGCGAAGCGAGAGAACGUUGCGUCAGCAACGGCCCGCAGGGCGAGCCACGCAGUGGCGAGUCAUCCUCUAUCACCGACCA
rnacentral:sRNA from 2 species